rnacentral:rRNA from 1 species
CCUACGGGAGGCUGCAGUGGGGAAUAUUGGGCAAUGGGCGCAAGCCUGACCCAGCAACGCCGCGUGAAGGAAGAAGGCUUUCGGGUUGUAAACUUCUUGUAAGAGGGAAGAGCAGAAGACGGUACCUCUUGAAUAAGCCACGGCUAACUACGUGCCAGCAGCCGCGGUAAUACGUAGGUGGCAAGCGUUGUCCGGAUUUACUGGGGGUAAAGGGCGUGCAGCCGGGAAUACAAGUCAGAUGUGAAAUCCCGCGGCUCAACCGCGGAACUGCAUUUGAAACUGUUUUUCUUGAGUACCGGAGAGGUCAUCGGAAUUCCUUGUGUAGCGGUGAAAUGCGUAGAUAUAAGGAAGAACACCAGUGGCGAAGGCGGAUGACUGGACGGCAACUGACGGUGAGGCGCGAAAGCGUGGGGAGCAAACAGGAUUAGAUACCCUGGUAGUC